CCUAUAGUUCAAUGGAUAGAGCGUCGGCCUCCGAAGCUGGAGAUGUCGGUUCGACUCCGACUAGGCG
rnacentral:tRNA from 1 species